rnacentral:rRNA from 1 species
ACCUAGUAGUAUGGGAUAGCCACUAGAAAUGGUGGGUAAUACUGUAUAAUCCCUGCGGGGGAAAGAUUUAUCGCUAUUAGAUGAGCCUAUGUUAGAUUAGCUAGUUGGUAGGGUAAAGGCCUACCAAGGCAGUGAUCUAUAGCUGGUCUGAGAGGAUGAUCAGCCACACUGGAACUGAGAUACGGUCCAGACUCCUACGGGAGGCAGCAGUGGGGAAUAUUGGACAAUGGGCGCAAGCCUGAUCCAGCUAUGCCGCGUGAGUGAGGAAGGCCUUAGGGUUGUAAAACUCUUUCAGUGGGGAAGAUAAUGACGGUACCCACAGAAGAAGUCCCGGCAAACUCCGUGCCAGCAGCCGCGGUAAUACGGAGGGGGCAAGCGUUGUUCGGAAUUAUUGGGCGUAAAGGGCAUGUAGGCGGUUCGGUAAGUUAAAGGUGAAAUGCCAGGGCUUAACCCUGGAGCUGCUUUUAAUACUGCCAGACUCGAGUCCGGAAGAGGAUAGCAAAAUUUCCUAG